AGUGAACGCUGGCGGCGUGGAUUAGGCAUGCAAGUCGAGCGAUCUCGCAAGAGAUAGCGGCAAACGGGUGAGUAAUACGUGAGUAACUUGCCCUAAAGACAGACAUAGCUUCGUGAAAACGGAGGUAAUAUCUGAUAUGGCUCUUGACACAUAGGUGUUAAAAGUUAAAGUCGGGGACCGCAAGGCCCGACGCUUUAGGAUGGGCUCACGUCCUAUCAGCUAGUUGGUGAGGUAAUGGCUCACCAAGGCUUAUGACGGGUAGCUGGUCUGAGAGGAUGGUCAGCCACACUGGGACUGAGACACUGCCCAGACUCCUACGGGAGGCUGCAGUCGAGAAUCUUUAGCAAUGGGCGAAAGCCUGACUAUGCGACGCCGCGUGAGGGAUGAAGAAUUUCGGUUCGUAAACCUCUUUUAACAGGGAAGAAAA
rnacentral:rRNA from 1 species